rnacentral:ribozyme from 13 species
AUUCCUCCUUUUUCUCUUCUUUGCUUUCUUCUUUCUUUUUUUCUUCCUCUUGGGAUUCUUCCUUCUUGGAGAGUAAAGAACCGAGAGGCAUGGACUC